GUCCGGAUGGUGGAAUUGGUAGACACGCUAGCUUCAGGUGCUAGUGCCUUACAGCAUGAGGGUUCGAGUCCCUCUUCGGACACCA
rnacentral:tRNA from 1 species